rnacentral:rRNA from 1 species
UACGUAGGGUGCAAGCGUUAAUCGGAAUUACUGGGCGUAAAGCGUGCGCAGGCGGUUGUGCAAGACCGAUGUGAAAUCCCCGGGCUUAACCUGGGAAUGACAUUGGUGACUGCACGGCUAGAGUGUGUCAGAGGGGGGUAGAAUUCCACGUGUAGCAGUGAAAUGCGUAGAGAUGUGGAGGAAUACCGAUGGCGAAGGCAGCCCCCUGGGAUAACACUGACGCUCAUGCACGAAAGCGUGGGGAGCAAACAGG